rnacentral:lncRNA from 13 species
CCAGGGAGGAUUCUAAUGGGUAUCCAUAAUAAACCCCAGGGAGAGUGCUAAUGGGUAUCCAUAAUAAACCCCAGGGAUGAUUCUAAUGGGUAUCCAUAAUAAAUCCCAGGGAGAGUUUUAAUGGCUAUCCAUAAUAAUCCCAGGGAGAGUGCUAAUGGGUAUCCAUAAUAAACCCCAGGGAGGAUUCUAAUGGGUAUCCAUAAUAAACUCCAGGGAGGAUUCUAAUGGGUAUCCAUAAUAAACCUCAGGGAGAGUGCUAAUGGCUAUCCAUAAUAAUCCAUGCCCUUUUGCGUCUGUAGCGCGGUAAGUCACAUUUCCCACUGGGGUGAUGGCCUUUCACUGUUAAGUAGCCCAGCUUAAGUAUCUCUCUGUAGAGAGAGAGUUCUCCCUGAAGCUAAUAUAGAGCGGGUACUUCCUGUUUGCUGAAAUGGGUGUUUUAAUAGAGUGGGUUCUUCCUGUUUACUGAAAUGGGUGCUUAUAUAGAGCGGGUACUUCCUGUUUGCUGAAAUGGGUGUUUUAAUAGAGCUGGUUCUUCCUGUUUGCUGAAAUUGGUGCUUAUAUAGAGCUGGUACUACCUGUUUGCUGAAAUGGGUGCUUAUAUAGAGCGGGGUACUUCCUGUUUGCUGAAAUGGGUAGAGUUCAUGAUGUGACUCGGUUUCAUGAAGUUCUGACACUUUCUGACAUCUUCUCAACCAGCGAGAAUGGUGGACGCAUAUCUGCGGCUAUAAACAUGCCUAUCGUUCUUGUAAUUUCUUUGGCCCGGUCAGAAUGAGCUGUGAAAGGGCUGCUUAAAUGCAGAGGGGAGACAAAGUUAUUUAUUUGCGUUUCUGUCUUGCUCUGGUGCUAGGAAUACCGGGGUGUUGUAAAUGUGUCAACAUGUCUGAGAUGUUGGCAGCUGCAUCUUGUUGAGCUGUGGCGACAUACUCUUUGUCCGUCGGCGUUGUAAUCUACUGCAAUGUUAAAAUGGUCCCAAGUUGGAGAUUUGGCUCACAAAAUGACAGUUUGUGUUUUUAAUUUUAUGUGUCCACACACUUUUGGUCAUGUAGUGUGUCAGCUCAAUGGAAAAUAUCUUUACAUUUCGAUCGAUCAAUUUUUUUUUAAAGAUCAGUUUCCACUGUCAAUCUUGUUCGUCAUCCCAGCAGCCAUCUGACAAAGGUCAAUCUGCUGGGAUGACUAAGGUGAUGCUUUAUCC